rnacentral:lncRNA from 1 species
GCGUUGGGUUUUUUCUGUCAUUCAUUUAGUCCUAACAAUGAAGAGGUAUUAACAUUUUCAUAAAAAAAAUGAUAAUUUCUGGCUGAUGUUCAGAGACAAUAAUUCCAAUGUUGAAUUUUUUUUCAUUGGUCAGUAACAAUGUUUCUGUUUAUGACUAUAAGGUAUUGAUUUUUCUCGUUUUUGAAGACUGUGCAGUGUCAUGUAAUUAUUCAUAUCUAUG